AUCCAGCUGACGAUUCCCAAAUAGGACAACGAAACGUUCGUCCUGGAU
rnacentral:hammerhead_ribozyme from 1 species